rnacentral:lncRNA from 1 species
GAACCUCCUGUAGUCGAUGCAAAAACUCUCGCUGACUUCAAGGAUUUUGAAUCCGACCUUAGGAAAUUCCUUGUGCUCCACGCAAAGAAACAUGAGAGAUUUGUGUGGUCAGUACGGACAUGGAGAGUCAGGCCUGCCUGAGCUAUGGGCUCAUGGGAUGCAAGACGCCUGUCUGGAAGCUGCAGAACAGAUGAUGGAGGCCACCAGGAUGAAACAAGUAAGAGAGCUGACCAAAUGCUCUUGAACACCACUGUCCAGUCAGUUUCAAAAGUGAAGCAUUCUCCUUGGCAUAACACAUUGUUUAACAAGUGGUUCAACCUCUUGUCAGCUUCAGCCUGCCGGGUUGUUUCUCAGUUCCUGUAAUCAUG